rnacentral:lncRNA from 1 species
CUCUUUGAUUAUUCAACACAUUUCACUUUAAAAAUAAAAUACUUUAAUUUUCAAAAAACAACAAUCCUGAAUCAAAAUUUUGAAAACAACCUGACAAGUGUGUACUCAUUUUAAAAAAUUUGCCCAAUUAUCUAUUCUUUAAAAGAUCCUUUAUACUUUGAUUAAGCAAAAAUCAUUAAUACAGAUCAUAAUAGUUAUACAUCUCAAUUGACAUACUCCCUUCC